rnacentral:rRNA from 1 species
GGAAUAUUGCACAAUGGACGAAAGUCUGAUGCAGCAACGCCGCGUGGAGGAUGACACAUUUCGGUGCGUAAACUCCUUUUAUAUGAGAAGAUAAUGACGGUAUCAUAUGAAUAAGCACCGGCUAACUCCGUGC